CCUACGGGUGGCUGCAGUGAGGAAUAUUGCACAAUGGGGGAAACCCUGAUGCAGCGACGCCGCGUGCGUGAAGAAGUAAUUCGUUAUGUAAAACUCUAUCAGCAGGGAAGAAAAUGACGGUACGUGAGUAAGAAUCCCCGUCUAACUACGUGCCAGAAGCCGCGGUAAUACGGAGGGGGCAAGCGUUAUCCGGAUUUACUGGGUGUAAAGGGGGCGCAGACGGCAGCGCAAGCCAGGAGUGAAAGCCCGGGGCCCAACCCGGGCAGUGCUGUUGGAACUGGGCGGCUGGAGUGCGGGAGGGGCAGGCGGAAUUCCUGGUGUAGCGGUGAAAUGCGUAGAUAUCAGGAGGAACACCGGUGGCGAAGGCGGCCUGCUGGACUGCGACUGACGUUGAGGCUCGAAAGCGUGGGGAGCAAACAGGAUUAGAUACCCCUGUAGUC
rnacentral:rRNA from 1 species